UUGUAGGCUUUGAAAAACCUGGCAUUGAAUUAUUCUGGCUGAAUUCUGUCACUUAUCAAGCAAAAAUCUGAGUUGCAAUCAGAGUUCUUCAAAGAUCUCGACAAAUACACUCCUCGCUUCCUGGAGAAGUUCAAGACCCAGAGGGGGAAAGUGUCGGACAGAAACUUGAAUAUCUGCAACAAGUCACACCUGGGAGUACAGAUGUGACUGGGAGGUGAACAGCAGUCCUCCGUGGCUCUCCCGUCAUCCUUGGAGAUGACAACGCAGACUUCUUCAAGAAUUUGUGUGAGUUUAGGAUGGCGUGAAGCUUCGACUUGACCCUAUGGAAACACAGCAGAUGCCACCAAAGGGUCCUGAUCGGGGACUCUGAUGACCUUCUGGACGUGUCCCGCACCUCCAUUGGGACCCUGGCGGUGCUGAAGACAUUGUGGCCUCCUCACUCGCUGGACCUGGAGUCUACAACUACUGCCAUCGUUUUGGAAGGAACAGUCGUGAUGGGUGACCGUGAUAAUCUUC